UGGGGAAUAUUGCACAAUGGGCGCAAGCCUGAUGCAGCCAUGCCGCGUGUGUGAAGAAGGCCUUCGGGUUGUAAAGCACUUUCAGCGAGGAGGAAGGUGGUGAGCUUAAUACGCUCAUCAAUUGACGUUACUCGCAGAAGAAGCACCGGCUAACUCCGUGCCAGCAGCCGCGGUAAUACGGAGGGUGCAAGCGUUAAUCGGAAUUACUGGGCGUAAAGCGCACGCAGGCGGUUUGUUAAGUCAGAUGUGAAAUCCCCGGGCUCAACCUGGGAACUGCAUUGAAACUGGCAAGCUAGAGUCUCGUAGAGGGGGUAGAAUUCCAGGUGGUAGCGGUGAAAUGCGUAGAGAUCUGGAGGAAUACCGGUGGCGAAGGCGGCCCCCUGGACGAAGACUGA
rnacentral:rRNA from 1 species